GAUGAAGAACGUAGCGAAAUGCGAUAAGUAAUGUGAAUUGCAGAAUUCAGUGAAUCAUCGAAUCUUUGAACGCACAUUGCGCCCGCCAGUAUUCUGGCGGGCAUGCCUGUUCGAGCGUCAUUUCAACCAUCAAGCCCUGCUUGCGUUGGGGUCCUGCGGCUGCCCGCAGGCCCUGAAAACCAGUGGCGGGCUCGCUAGUCACACCGAGCGCAGUAAUACAUCUCGCUUUGGGCGUGCGGCGGGUUCUUGCCGUAAAACCCCCAAUUUUUUAAGGUUGACCUCGGAUCAGGUAGGAAUACCCGCUGAACUUAAGCAUAUCAAUAAGCGGAGGA
rnacentral:misc_RNA from 1 species